rnacentral:rRNA from 1 species
UCUGGCCAUACCACCCUGAACACAGCCAAUCUCAUCUGAUCUCAGAAGCUGAGCAGGGUCGGGCCUGGUUAGUACUUGGAUGGAAGAUACCCACUGAUCGCCACCAAAU